UACGUAGGGUGCGAGCGUUAAUCGGAAUUACUGGGCGUAAAGCGUGCGCAGGCGGCUUUGCAAGACAGAUUUGAAAUCCCCGGGCUCAACCUGGGAACUGCAUUUGUGACUGCAAGGCUAGAGUACGGCAGAGGGGGAUGGAAUUCCGCGUGUAGCAGUGAAAUGCGUAGAUAUGCGGAGGAACACCAAUGGCGAAGGCAAUCCCCUGGGCCUGUACUGACGCUCAUGCACGAAAGCGUGGGGAGCAAACAGG
rnacentral:rRNA from 1 species